rnacentral:rRNA from 1 species
UGGCGGACGGGUGAGUAACGCGUGAGGAACCUGCCUUUCAGUGGGGGACAACAGUUGGAAACGACUGCUAAUACCGCAUAAUGUAUUCUGACCGCAUGAUCGGAAUACCAAAGAUUUAUUGCUGAAAGAUGGCCUCGCGUCUGAUUAGAUAGUUGGUGAGGUAACGGCCCACCAAGUCGACGAUCAGUAGCCGGACUGAGAGGUUGAACGGCCACAUUGGGACUGAGAUACGGCCCAGACUCCUACGGGAGGCAGCAGUGGGGAAUAUUGGGCAAUGGGGGAAACCCUGACCCAGCAACGCCGCGUGAAGGAAGAAGGCUUUCGGGUUGUAAACUUCUUUUACCAGGGACGAAGGACGUGACGGUACCUGGAGAAAAAGCCACGGCUAACUACGUGCCAGCAGCCGCGGUAAUACGUAGGUGGCAAGCGUUGUCCGGAUUUACUGGGUGUAAAGGGCGUGUAGGCGGAGAAGCAAGUCAGAAGUGAAAUCCAUGGGCUUAACCCAUGAACUGCUUUUGAAACUGUUUCCCUUGAGUAUCGGAGAGGCAGGCGGAAUUCCUAGUGUAGCGGUGAAAUGCGUAGAUAUUAGGAGGAACACCAGUGGCGAAGGCGGCCUGCUGGACGACAACUGACGCUGAGGCGCGAAAGCGUGGGGAGCAAACAGAAUUAGAUACCCUGGUAGUCCACGCUGUAAACGAUGAAUACUAGGUGUGGGAGGACUGACCCCUUCCGUGCCGCA